AAGCAAGUUAACAUCUGAAUAGAAAUUAAACUAAUUAUUUUUUUUUUAAUGCAGGCUGUGUGAGUCACAGCCAGGGGAGGCGUGGCAAGGGAUGCAUAAACAGAAACAAACUGAUUACAUAUCUAAAUGGCAGAGAACUGAGCAGUGAGACUGUGUAGGGCAUGAUCUAUACACAAAAACUGCUUCAUUAAGCUAAACUUGUUUUGGUGGUUAUACUGUCCCCUUAACUCAAGAGACUGCC